rnacentral:rRNA from 1 species
CCUACGGGGAGCAGCAGUGAGGAAUAUUGGUCAAUGGACGAGAGUCUGAACCAGCCAAGUAGCGUGAAGGAUGACUGCCCUAUGGGUUGUAAACUUCUUUUAUAUGGGAAUAAAACGUUCCACGUGUGGGAUUUUGUAUGUACCAUAUGAAUAAGGAUCGGCUAACUCCGUGCCAGCAGCCGCGGUAAUACGGAGGAUCCGAGCGUUAUCCGGAUUUAUUGGGUUUAAAGGGAGCGUAGGUGGAUUGUUAAGUCAUUUGUGAAAGUUUGCGGCUCAACCGUAAAAUUGCAGUUGAAACUGGCAGUCUUGAGUACAGUAGAGGUGGGCGGAAUUCGUGGUGUAGCGGUGAAAUGCUUAGAUAUCACGAAGAACUCCGAUUGCGAAGGCAGUUCACUGGACUGCAACUGACACUGAGGCUCGAAAGUGUGGGUAUCAAACAGGAUUAGAUACCCCUGUAGUC